UGGGAGAGCCUGGCCUGCACGAGCCUCGCGACACCUCUCCCAUCACCAUGCUCUUCGACCUGGCUGCAAACAACAGCCCAGGCGAAGCCUUGACUUGAGUCUGAUUGAAAACCUGUGUUGGGAGUUAAGUACCUGUGUGUUGACAAAGAGACCUUCCAACCGCAAAGACUUGGAGUUUAUCACCAAUGAAUCUCCUUCUGGCUUCUGUGCGCCCCGUCGGCCACGGACACGGCGUUGAACAGAUCCAGCAUGAACUGCGGC